CCAUACCACCCUGAACACACCCGAUCUCACCGGAUCUCGAAAGCUAAGCAGGAUGGAGCCUGGUGGUAUUUGGGCGCGAGAAACUGCAAGUG
rnacentral:rRNA from 1 species